CGCUUUAGGGUUCGUAGGUGCACCUGCGGAGGAUCAUUA
rnacentral:rRNA from 1 species